rnacentral:rRNA from 1 species
CCAAUAGCGUAUAUUAAAGUUGUUGCAGUUAAAAAGCUCGUAGUUGAAUUUCGGGGUUAGUAGGUUGGUCAUGCCUCUGGUAUGUACUGGUCUCACUGAUUCCUCCUUCCUGAUGAACCGUAAUGCCAUUAAUUUGGUGUUGCGGGGAAUUUGGACUGUUACUUUGAAAAAAUUAGAGUGUUUAAAGCAGGCAUUUUGCUUGAAUACAUUAGCAUGGAAUAAUAAAAUAGGACGGCAUGAUUCUAUUUUGUUGGUUUCUAGGAUCACCGUAAUGAUUAAUAGGGAUAGUUGGGUGCAUUAGUAUUCAAUUGUCAGAGGUGAAAUUCUUGGAUUUAUUGAAGACUAACUACUGCGAAAGCAUUUGCCAAGGAUGUUUUCAUUAAUCAAGAACGAAAGUUAGGGGAUCGAAGACGAUCAGAUACCGUCGUAGUCUUAACCAUAAACUAUGCCGACUAGGAAUCAGACGAUGUUAAUUUUUUAAUGACUCGUUUGGCACCUUACG